AACGAACGCUGGCGGCAGGCUUAACACAUGCAAGUCGAGCGCCCCGCAAGGGGAGCGGCAGACGGGUGAGUAACGCGUGGGAAUCUACCCAUCUCUGCGGAACAACUCCGGGAAGCUGGAGCUAAUACCGCAUACGCCCUUCGGGGGAAAGAUUUAUCGGGGAUGGAUGAGCCCGCGUUGGAUUAGCUAGUUGGUGGGGUAAAAGCCUACCAAGGCGACGAUCCAUAGCUGGUCUGAGAGGAUGAUCAGCCACAUUGGGACUGAGACACGGCCCAAACUCCUACGGGAGGCAGCAGUGGGGAAUAUUGGACAAUGGGCGCAAGCCUGAUCCAGCCAUGCCGCGUGAGUGAUGAAGGCCUUAGGGUUGUAAAGCUCUUUCACCGAUGAAGAUAAUGACGGUAGUCGGAGAAGAAGCCCCGGCUAACUUCGUGCCAGCAGCCGCCGUAA
rnacentral:rRNA from 1 species